rnacentral:rRNA from 1 species
AACGUAGGGUGCAAGCGUUGUCCGGAAUUACUGGGUGUAAAGGGAGCGCAGGCGGACCGGCAAGUUGGAAGUGAAAACUAUGGGCUCAACCCAUAAAUUGCUUUCAAAACUGCUGGCCUUGAGUAGUGCAGAGGUAGGUGGAAUUCCCGGUGUAGCGGUGGAAUGCGUAGAUAUCGGGAGGAACACCAGUGGCGAAGGCGACCUACUGGGCACCAACUGACGCUGAGGCUCGAAAGCAUGGGUAGCAAAC